rnacentral:rRNA from 1 species
UUAUCGAUAUGACGUAAGGCUGUAGCGUCGUCGCUCGUCGUGAGUCAACUACGAUCGCGUCGUACGCGCUGGUCAUAGGAGCUGAUCUGGAGGUGAUGCGUCGAGACCGAUGCAGCAGUCUGCUACUGACGUAGACUAGCUCGACACAGAUAAUCUGUAGUCAUGCGUACGUGACUAGUCGACAUCACGAUCGCGCACUACCAUAGUGCGCUGGAGUACGACGCAGCUAGCUCACGAUGACGGAGCGACAGCGCGAGCAUGCGAUAUCGAUGCACGCGAGACUACAGACUGACAUGUCUCGAUCGCGUAGAGAUACGUGACUUGGCGGAUCACAGUGUGCAUGUGUCGUCAGCUCGUGUCGUGAGAUGUAAUAGUCCGCACGAGCGCACCUCGUACAUGUGCAGCACGUAAUGUAGACUCAUGGAGACUGCCGGGUCACUCAAGGAAGGUGGCGACGACGUCAUAUCAUCAUGCACUUAUGUCUUGGCUUCACGCAUGCUACAAUGGCCGGUACAAUGGGUUGCGAUACUGUGAGGUGGAGCUAAUCCCACAAGCCGGUCUCAGUUCGGAUUGGGGUCUGCAACUCGACCCCAUGAAGUCGGAGUCGCUAGUAAUCGCAGAUCAGCAACGCUGCGGUGAAUACGUUCCCGGGCCUUGUACACACCGCCCGUCAAGUCACGAAAGUCGGUAACACCGGAGGCGUAGCCUGUAAUGUAGUCGUAUAGAGCUUUAGCAUG